AUGAACGCUAGCGACAGGCUUAACACAUGCAAGUCGAGGGGCAGCACAGGUAGCAAUACCGGGUGGCGACCGGCGCACGGGUGAGUAACGCGUAUGCAACUUGCCUAUCAGAGGGGGAUAACCCGGCGAAAGUCGGACUAAUACCGCAUGAAGCAGGGGCCCCGCAUGGGGAUAUUUGCUAAAGAUUCAUCGCUGAUAGAUAGGCAUGCGUUCCAUUAGGCAGUUGGCGGGGUAACGGCCCACCAAACCGACGAUGGAUAGGGGUUCUGAGAGGAAGGUCCCCCACAUUGGUACUGAGACACGGACCAUACUCCUACGGGAGGCAGCAGUGAGGAAUAUUGGUCAAUGGCCGAGAGGCUGAACCAGCCAAGUCGCGUGAGGGAUGAAGGUUCUAUGGAUCGUAAACCUCUUUUAUAAGGGAAUAAAGUGCGGGACGUGUCCCGUUUUGUAUGUACCUUAUGAAUAAGGAUCGGCUAACUCCGUGCCAGCAGCCGCGGUAAUACGGAGGAUCCGAGCGUUAUCCGGAUUUAUUGGGUUUAAAGGGUGCGUAGGCGGCCUUUUAAGUCAGCGGUGAAAGUCUGUGGCUCAACCAUAGAAUUGCCGUUGAAACUGGGGGGCUUGAGUAUGUUUGAGGCAGGCGGAAUGCGUGGUGUAGCGGUGAAAUGCAUAGAUAUCACGCAGAACCCCGAUUGCGAAGGCAGCCUGCCAAGCCAUUACUGACGCUGAUGCACGAAAGCGUGGGGAUCAAACAGGAUUAGAUACCCUGGUAGUCCACGCAGUAAACGAUGAUCACUAGCUGUUUGCGAUACACUGUAAGCGGCACAGCGAAAGCGUUAAGUGAUCCACCUGGGGAGUACGCCGGCAACGGUGAAACUCAAAGGAAUUGACGGGGGCCCGCACAAGCGGAGGAACAUGUGGUUUAAUUCGAUGAUACGCGAGGAACCUUACCCGGGUUUGAACGCAUUCGGACCGAGGUGGAAACACCUUUUCUAGCAAUAGCCGUUUGCGAGGUGCUGCAUGGUUGUCGUCAGCUCGUGCCGUGAGGUGUCGGCUUAAGUGCCAUAACGAGCGCAACCCUUGCCACUAGUUACUAACAGGUAAAGCUGAGGACUCUGGUGGGACUGCCAGCGUAAGCUGCGAGGAAGGCGGGGAUGACGUCAAAUCAGCACGGCCCUUACAUCCGGGGCGACACACGUGUUACAAUGGCGUGGACAAAGGGAAGCCACCUGGCGACAGGGAGCGAAUCCCCAAACCACGUCUCAGUUCGGAUCGGAGUCUGCAACCCGACUCCGUGAAGCUGGAUUCGCUAGUAAUCGCGCAUCAGCCAUGGCGCGGUGAAUACGUUCCCGGGCCUUGUACACACCGCCCGUCAAGCCAUGGGAGCCGGGGGUACCUGAAGUCCGUAACCGCGAGGAUCGGCCUAGGGUAAAACUGGUGACUGGGGCU
rnacentral:rRNA from 1 species